GACGAACGCUGGCGGCGUGCUUAACACAUGCAAGUCGAACGAAGUGGCGAACGGGUGAGUAACGCGUAAUCCACCUGCCCUUCAGAGGGGGACAACAGUUGGAAACGACUGCUAAUACCGCAUACUGAAGUAGGUGAUUGCGUCGGAUUAGCUAGUUGGAGGGGUAACGGCCCACCAAGGCGAUGAUCAGUAGCCGGGCUUGGAGGAUGAAAGGCCACAUUGGGACUGAGAAACGGCCCAGACUCCUACGGGAGGCAGCAGUGGGGAAUCUUCCGCAAUGGACGAAAGUCUGACGGAGCAACGGCGCGUGAGUGAUGACGGGCUUCGGGUUGUAAAGCUCUGUUAAUCGGGACGCGGUACCGGAAGAGAAAGCCACGGCUAACUACGUGCCAGCAGCCGCGGUAAUUC
rnacentral:rRNA from 1 species